rnacentral:rRNA from 1 species
GUCCAGACUCCUACGGGAGGCAGCAGUGAGGAAUAUUGGUCAAUGGGCGGGAGCCUGAACCAGCCAAGUCGCGUGAGGGAAGACGGUCCUAUGGAUUGUAAACCUCUUUAGGCGGGGAGCAAUGCCGGGCACGCGUGCCCGGAGGGAGAGUACCCGCAGAAUAAGCAUCGGCUAACUCCGUGCCAGCAGCCGCGGUAAUACGGAGGAUGCGAGCGUUAUCCGGAUUUAUUGGGUUUAAAGGGUGCGCAGGCGGUCUGUUAAGUCAGCGGUCAAAGCCGGGGGCUCAACCCCGGUCCGCCGUUGAAACUGGCAGUCUCGAGUUGGAGAGAAGUAUGCGGAAUGCGCGGUGUAGCGGUGAAAUGCAUAGAUAUCGCGCAGAACUCCGAUUGCGAAGGCAGCAUGCCGGCUCCACACUGACGCUGAGGCACGAAAGCGUGGGUAUCGAACAGGAUUAGAUACCCCCGUAU